rnacentral:rRNA from 1 species
UACAUGUGGGGCAAGCGUUGUUCGGAAUUACUGGGCAUAAAGGGUGCGUAGGCGGCUUGUUAAGUCAGUGGUGAAAGUUUUCGGCCCAACCGGAAAAUUGCCGUUGAUACUGGCGAGCUUGAGUGCGUGAGGGAUAGGGGGAACGAGCGAGUGUGAGCGGUGAAAUGCGUAGAUAUUAGCUCGGAAGGCCAACGGCGAAGGCAGGUUACUGGUACGCAACUGACGCUGAGGCACGAAAGCGUGGGGAGCAAACAGG